rnacentral:rRNA from 1 species
GACGAACGCUGGCGGCGUGCUUAACACAUGCAAGUCGAACGGUGAAGGGACCGGUUUUUGCUGGUUCUGGAUGAGUGGCGCACGGGUGAGUAACACGUGAGUAACCUGCCCCCUUCUUCUGGAUAACCGCAUGAAAGUGUGGCUAAUACGGGAUAUUCUGCUCCUGCUGCAUGGUGGGUGUGGGAAAGAUAUUGUUUCGGUGGGGGAUGGGCUCGCGGCCUAUCAGCUUGUUGGUGGGGUGAUGGCCUACCAAGGCGGUGACGGGUAGCCGGCCUGAGAGGGUGGACGGUCACACUGGGACUGAGACACGGCCCAGACUCCUACGGGAGGCAGCAGUGGGGAAUAGUGCACAAUGGGCGCAAGCCUGAUGCAGCGACGCCGCGUGAGGGAUGGAGGCCUUCGGGUUGUAAACCUCUUUCGCCAGUGAAGCAGGCCUGUCCCUUUUGUGGGUGGGUUGACGGUAGCUGGAUAAGAAGCGCCGGCUAACUACGUG